GCAAGAUUGGUUCAAUGGUAGAAUUCAUCGUUGCCAUCGAUGAGACCCGUGUUCGAUUCACGGAUCUUGCAC
rnacentral:tRNA from 2 species